UGUAAUAGGGAAAAACAUUUGCUGAGCCAGCGAAUUAUGUUGCUGCUUUAAAAAAAAAGAAAAAGAAAAAGAAAAUGGUUUUUUUUUCCUUUUGUUUUGCUUCCUUUUGCAGUGAUGAGGUGCUAGCUUAGCCCACACUGUGUGACCUUUGUUAGAAAAGUCACCUGCUGUUACAAGUUACUCUGGUCUCCUGUUGUUACAGACUUACCUCCAUUGUGUUCUACAUGUAUAAUUUGAAUUCAUAUGGGAUUUCACAGGACCCCUGCUCUUUUCUUUAUAAUUUAAGGAAAUAGAAAAAUAGACUUCCUAUCUGAGGGAUAUCAGGCGUCAUUUUUAUUGUCACGGAAGUCAUACUUCCUAGAAGACCUAUGCAUCCCACAGGAUUUUUUGAGAAUCGAAUAUAAAAUCUUUACAAAUAAAAAAUUAGGCAUGCAGACACAUUGGAAGGCAAGGAGAGUGGAAUUUAUUAAAAGAAAGCUCUCAGCAAAAAAAAAA